rnacentral:misc_RNA from 1 species
AAAAGUCGUAACAAGGUAACCGUAGGUGAACCUGCGGUUGGAUCAUUAAUAAUUUUAACAAAAAGAGUAUAUAUUUUAUAUACUUUUUUUAACAAAUUGUGAAUUUUAUAAAUGUCUUUGGGGAUUAUUAUAAUUCCCAACUUUUUUAAACACAAGAGUAUUUAAAAUUGUCUAUAAUAACUUUUUAUUAAUAUAAAAAACAACUUUUGACAACGGAUCUCUUGGCUCUCG